rnacentral:lncRNA from 1 species
CUUGGUUUCCUAAGUCUUAUGACUAGCCAAUGCCUGAAAUAAUGAACUCCUCCAAGGCAAGAAAUCUGUUUUGAAGCUUCUCUGCGUUCACACACAGCAGCCUGGUUUCCUGGAAGGGCAUUUUCCACAUUGUGCGUUAUGGAUGAUCAUCCCAGGCAUCAGGUGUGAAGCCCUGCAUCCACAUCCAGGGGCUAUCAAAUCUCUCUGCAAAAGGAGAAGCUGGACUCAGGCACGUUUACAGUGAUGUGUAUGCAGGGUAUGCACAGAUGUGGAAACAGGAACUGAUGUGUCCAUUACACCACUAGGACAGAGGCCAGAACAAUGAAGAAACCAAAUACUUGGAAGAGGGUAGAGAUAAUGAAUGGAGUCCAAGAGCCCUGAUUGUGCCAUAAAUGUCCAGAUAAUUCCAUACCUGAGGAUUAUGUGGUUUGUAAACUUGGC